AUUGAACGCUGGCGGCAUGCCUUACACAUGCAAGUCGAACGGCAGCACGGGUGCUUGCCCCUGGUGGCGAGUGGCGAACGGGUGAGUAAUACAUCGGAACAUGUCCUGUAGUGGGGGAUAGCCCGGCGAAAGCCGGAUUAAUACCGCAUACGAUCUACGGAUGACAGCGGGGGACCUUCGGGCCUCGCGCUAUAGGGUUGGCCGAUGGCUGAUUAGCUAGUUGGUGGGGUAAAGGCCUACCAAGGCGACGAUCAGUAGCUGGUCUGAGAGGACGACCAGCCACACUGGGACUGAGACACGGCCCAGACUCCUACGGGAGGCAGCAGUGGGGAAUUUUGGACAAUGGGCGAAAGCCUGAUCCAGCAAUGCCGCGUGUGUGAAGAAGGCCUUCGGGUUGUAAAGCACUUUUGUCCGGAAAGAAAUCCUUGGCUCUAAUACAGUCGGGGGAUGACGGUACCGGAAGAAUAAGCACCGGCUAACUACGUG
rnacentral:rRNA from 1 species